rnacentral:rRNA from 1 species
AUUGAACGCUGGCGGCAGGCUUAACACAUGCAAGUCGAGCGGGGUGAUGGUGCUUGCACUAUCACUUAGCGGCGGACGGGUGAGUAAUGCUUAGGAAUCUGCCUAUUAGUGGGGGACAACAUCUCGAAAGGGAUGCUAAUACCGCAUACGUCCUACGGGAGAAAGCAGGGGAUCACUUGUGACCUUGCGCUAAUAGAUGAGCCUAAGUCGGAUUAGCUAGUUGGUGGGGUAAAGGCCUACCAAGGCGACGAUCUGUAGCGGGUCGGAGAGGAUGAUCCGCCAGACUGGGACUGAGACACGGCCCAGACUCCUAGGGGAGGCAGCAGUGGGGAAUAUUGGACAAUGGGGGGAACCCUGAUCCAGCCAUGCCGCGUGUGUGAAGAAGGCCUUAUGGUUGUAAAGCACUUUAAGCGAGGAGGAGGCUCUUUUAGUUAAUACCCAAGAUGAGUGGACGUUACUCGCAGAAUAAGCACCGGCUAACUCUGUGCCAGCAGCCGCGGUAA